GUGCUUUUUUAAUAUGAAUCACUUUAUGCAGAAGAUCUGAGUUCAAAAAGAUUGCAUGACACCACAAACAUUUGAUAUUUUUUUAUCAUGGCCUAGGUUUGGUGGGCGAGCUCACUGUCGUCCGCCUUGAGCUGGUCCGUUUCAGAGUACGGCCCUUCAUUCGUGCCUCCCGUUCUCUCUGCCGAAGUCGUGGUUGUGUGGACGUGGCUAUAGUCAAAGGGUCGUCGCCAGCGUGGCACCGGCGCCUCCCUUCCCUCUCCCCGGGAGCUGGAAGGUACUGUCUCGGGCUUCCCAGAUCUGUUGGAUCAAAAAUUGCAAGUGAUGGAAUCAAAUUUUGUUGGAUCAGAAAUUGCGGUUGAUGGAAUUAAAACUUGGAUGUGAUCAAAUUAGGUAUUGCUUGAGCUAAAAGUUGAAUGUUUGUCGACUUGAUUUGUAGUUCAGCAUGUCAAAAUUGUGGUGGAUUGUGUGGUAUAGUUUACAUAUUUGAAAAUGUUGUUGAAUUUUCAGAGAGGACCAUGGCAUACUGAUUACUGAAAGGAAUUUGUGAGUUCCUGCACGAUGCAUCUCCAGCAUUUCUUGUGCAGAUCGGUUCCUACUCAUAUUUCCCCCUUGCAUAACAAUCAACUUAUUUUAGGAACAUUAAUAUCAUCAUUGGCCUAUGAAUUUAUAACAUACUUUCCUGCUUUACAGUUCUGGUGAACAUCCUUUUUAAAUAUUUUUGUUUCUUGAAACCUCAAAACAGUAGUUUAAAUUCUUUUCCAUGAAUCAGCGAGUUGCUGCCUUGGUGAUGGUAAUUAGUCAUGGAUAGUUGUCAUUCUAAAGUUGCUUGGUUCAGAUAUCUACUUUUUGGCAAUGAUUUUGCCUUUUUUCUUCCUGUUCAAAAUAUACCAUUUGGCAGUGACUAGGUUCAAAGAUACUGACCUGUCCUAUGUUGUGUUUGCCGUUUUAACAGUAGGAACCUGCUAUUGAGUUAUUUUACUGGCUUAAUUUGGCCUCUCUGCAGCAUCCAGUAGCUUUUUAUCUGAAGAUUUUCACCAUUUCUAAAUACUACGUACUUGUCGCUAUGUAAUAAAACCAUACAUCCAGCCGCUGCCCACGGGAUAUUCCCAGCCACCAAUCUUGGUUAUGCUCAAAUUAUGCACCAGAUAUUCCCAGUCACCAAUCUUGGUUAUGUGAGCACUCUUUGACCUAUUAUUUAAAUGAAAUCAUCCUGAAAUUCCUGAUCUCAUUAAGCCAUCAUACCAGGAGGAAAAAAUGUGUUUAAUUGGCAGGGUUAGGGACCUCUGAAGUAAGAUCCUAGGCCGUAGUUUUGUUUUCCUGUCUCUUACAAAAUUAUGAAAAAAAGUUGGUUACAACAGCAAAGGAUUAAUUAAUUUAUUUCCUCUUGGGAUAGUCAGCUUAGAGGAAAGCUUGGUCAUUGCUUCACACAAUUGAUAUUGGACUGCACAUAUUUAAACACCACAGGUGCAGCAAAUUCAGAAAAUCCAUGUCUAUGUAAAACCCUGUUUAGGUUACUGAGUUCUUGCUAGCUUUAGGGUCCAUACUUAAUUAACGUGAUGUUGUAUUUGUAGAUUUUCAAGUGCAAUCUUCUUCAAGAAAGCUCAAUAUGCAGGUUAGUCGUCAUUUGGUCAAACAACAUUUGCACCAAUGUUUUGUUCGUGUAAUGACACAUAUUUCCAGCAUCACAUGAAUAAACCCAAUUGAUAUUUGAGAUGGGAUGCACGGCUGUACAAUAUUUUCCCGCAUAUCUACUCCUGUAACCACCUGCCAACCAUACCUUUCACUAUUUUUUUGAAUGCAAAUCAAGUACGUUCUUAAGCCUUUUUCUUUUGUAGAAAAUCCUAAGCAAGGCAGGUAUCUAUACAGCAACAAGUUUCUGCAAAAUAGGAAUCGAAGAGUACCCUCAUUCUAGUCCUUGAAUUGUUUAUUUUCUAUAUUAUUUGGCUUCCGUAGUUCAGAUGCAGUUGAACAACAUAGAUUGUUUUUGCUUGCUUGUGGCGACGUAAGUAUAUGGUUCGCUCUGAAAUAUUAGUACUUUUGAGCUUACAGAGCACUAUAUAUGAGUAUAUGUUUGGCUAGUGGUUCCCUUCAGGAUACAUGUGCUAGGUUUCAAUAUACGUCUUUGUUGCCUUGCUUGAUUUGUUAGGCGUCUCAUUUUUUUCUCUGUCUCGCAAGGUAUAAUAGGCAGAGGCAAAUAAAAAAUCUACGCCAUAAAGUGAUCCACACUGUAACUAUGAUACGUAUAGAAUUGUCAGUUUAAAGCUUGCUCUGAAAGGAAGCAUUCUACUUUAUGCUCUUCGCUUAUUAUCUCUGUAAAAUCUUAAGAUUUUGGAGGGAGUUCAACAAUGCUGCAGGUGCUUGUGUCCAUUCAGGCUCUCAUUUUGAAUGAGAAGCCAUACUUCAAUGAGCCGGGAUAUGCAGGCUCUGCGAAUACCGCAACUGGACAACAACAUUCUAUAGAGUACAACAAGACCACAUUUCUGCACUCCUGUAGGACUAUGUUGUAUUCACUUAGAAGACCUCCGGAGGUAAUGUUUCGCUAUAUGUACCUACAGUUCUGGCUGAAGGUGCAAAAACAAAAUAAUAGUCCAUCUCUUGUCCUUUUAACACAUGCUGAAAUAAGAAACUUACUCGUGACAUGAUAGACUAUUAAAGAUUAGCCCUUUUAUUUUCUCAGAUUUCUGGAUCUUCUCUUGGUUUACUGCAUUUGCUGCUGUUUACUUGAAUAUGCUAUAAAGGUUUGUUUCAAUGUUCUAAAACACAGUGGCUGGAAUGCACUUGGUCACCCCCACCUUGUAGUGGAGUAUGGGUGGGCCUUUGGGCUUGUUUCAGUUUAGGCCCAAAUAAGCAGCCAGCCUGGUAACCUGGUUAAGGUAACGCCUAUUUAUUGUGGUUAAUCAUGUUGCAUACUCUUUUUUUUCGUAAUCUUAGUCGGCAAGGGCACAUGGAUACGUAGUAUGCAUACUUGACUGAAUGACUGGAGUUUUAGAACAUUCUUGUAUGUUUUAAUUUAAUUUUGCAACAUGACAGCCCUCGUUUGUAGUUACCAGACAGUUAAGUAACAUAGUACUCUAUUAUCUACUACUUUUUAGUAACCUUCCUUUGUUGUUGGCUCUACUUGCUGGAUGUCAGUAGAAAUGGUCACACAAAAACAAAUUGAUGGAAAUGGGAUUUGCUGGAUGUACUUAUGAUUUCUAGGCUUCUAUAUUGUUAGUGAUACGUUCCUCUUGGAGUCAUCUAGGUCUUUAGAGAAUGACUGAAAAUUGUCUUACAUCCUGUUACAUCAAAUGAAGUAACUUGAAAUUUUCGAAUGAUAAAUUAACAGGGGCUUUUGAGCAUAUAACACAUCGGUAGAAACAUUUCCUUGGAGAAAAUGGGUAACUUAAUCAUAGGUGUUAUAGCAAAUACUAAAAUUUACAUGUUGCAUCCUUUGGUCUUUUGCUUAGAUGAAGAUUAUGUUCAGGGAACAUUAAAUGCAAAGUGUCUACUCCAGGCUGUCACCAGCACUGUGUAACUGAACAUGGAAACAUCAAGCACACAGAUCUGGUUUUCCUAUGCCUAGGUGUCUUCUCCUUUAGUCUGUUCCUGCUUCAUUGGUACUUAUAGCCUUAUAGGAGUCUGAUUCUCAAAUUGGCUAAGAAGCAAGGCUUAAAUUGGCUAAUAAGCAAGGCUUCUCUGGUUGUAUGAACCAGCAUUACAUUUGAAACUUAAUCAAGUUAACAGUAGAUGUAAAGGAUUUUUUUCUGUCAUGUUUGUCAAAAUGGUGCAUGACACAUAUCAUGCUCAUUGACAUGCGCGUGGUUACAGUUACUGUACUGAUUACAAAAUCACCCAGGCUCUGUCAUGAGAAAUAUAAGAUAACAAAAGACAGUUGGUUACUUCUCUCCGAUUUCACAUGGAUAGUUGGAUUUUGGGGUACAUGUGUAGUUUUAGUUCUGUAACUUUGGUUUGAUUGACUCCAUGGUUAGUUGUUCGCACACUGUUGGAUGCUUAGUUCAGUUAAAAAUAUAAUGCCGUAUGAGUAUAAGAAUACUAACGAGCUUUCGAUAAUGCUAGAGCUGCAGUAACAACUAAGGAUCCGAUAAAUAAUAACAUCAUGAAAGGGGCACGGAGCGGCGAUCCAAUAUACACCGGCGAUGAAGGAAGUGGGGAUGGACAUUCGUGGAUUUGCCGUCCCUGAUUUGCUUUGUGGAGGUAUUAUCUUUCAUAAUGUGUUGUUAACAUAUCUCUGGAAUAAGUUCUUAUGUUCAGUACAUAUAGUUUGGUUGAUUAUCUUUUAGGGGCCUUCUUUGGAAAGGCUUCGACAGACUGUUUGAAUUACUGCCUUAUUAGGUUAAUAGAAUUUGAACAUGUGACUUUAUCUUUGUGUCAACCAUACAAAGGAGUUAGUGACCUGUUCUUAAUGAUAUAUAAAGGAGUAGGCAGUAGUGCAUGGUAAUAAUAAAAAAUGCAUCAUGUGUAUGUGCAGGACACAUGCCCAUGAUUCAUAAUGAUUUGCGGCAGUCUUAGAAGAAAAUUUCCCAUUGCAUUCAUCCCCCUUUGAGUGUCAAUUGCAAAGUUCAUCCAUUGGUGAAAGGAAACUGUACUCUUCUUUGUUUUAGUGCUCUGCCUCCCUGCUUCUAUGACAGAAUGGCAUGGCUUCGUGUACAAUAAAUGUUCUCUACUCUUGCAGCCCAUGUAUUACUAUUGACAGGGUUUGUCUACACUUAUCUUUAAGGCUACAACCGGGAGUCUCAUAGGUGUGUGAAGAUGAUCUAGGGCAUUGCUUUGUUAGGAGUUCACUUAUGUACAAGAAUGGCAUGUUCUUCCACGUGUAAUAUAUUGUGGUUUUUUCUACUCAACACCACCUGGACCAUGUAUCAUUGUAACCUGCUCUAUGGUUUGGAUCUGAGCACUGGACCAUGGUGCUGGACAGGGCACGACGCCCUAAGACCGCUCUUUGGAAUUCCAAUAUACUUAGAUAGAUAGAAGUGAAAGUUGAGGACCAACAUGUAUGUUGUAUCGUGGAUGUCCCCCUUCAUAGCAUUGUUUUAUGAAAUGCACUAACAC